UACGGAGGGUGCAAGCGUUAUCCGGAUUCACUGGGUUUAAAGGGUGCGUAGGAGGGCAGGUAAGUCAGUGGUGAAAUCUCCAAGCUUAACUUGGAAACUGCCGUUGAUACUAUCUGUCUUGAAUGUUGUGGAGGUGAGCGGAAUAUGUCAUGUAGCGGUGAAAUACUUAGAUAUGACAUAGAACACCAAUUGCGAAGGCAGCUCACUACACAAUUAUUGACUCUGAGGCACGAAAGCGUGGGGAUCAAACAGG
rnacentral:rRNA from 1 species